UACGAAGGGGGCUAGCGUUGCUCGGAAUCACUGGGCGUAAAGGGCGUGUAGGCGGUCCGCUAAGUCUGAUGUGAAAGCCCGGGGCUCGCCCCCGGAAGGGCAUUGGAAACUGGCGGACUCGAGUCCCGGAGAGGAAGGUGGAAUUCCUGGUGUAGCGGUGAAAUGCGUAGAUAUCAGGAGGAAUACCGGUGGCGAAGGCGGCCUUCUGGACGGUGACUGACGCUGAGGAGCGAAAGCGUGGGGAGCGAACAGG
rnacentral:rRNA from 1 species